rnacentral:rRNA from 2 species
UAUAGCAGCCAUGUCACCCUGCAACUCACAACUGGCAACCCACUGAAGCUAAGCAGGUGUGAGCCUGGUCAGUACCUGGAUAGGAGACCUCCUGGGAAAAACUAAGGUUGCUGCUGGAA